GAUGAACGCUAGCUACAGGCUUAACACAUGCAAGUCGAGGGGAAACGAUAUUGGAAGCUUGCUUCCGAUAGGCGUCGACCGGCGCACGGGUGAGUAACGCGUAUCCAACCUGCCCAUCACUUGGGAAUAACCUUGCGAAAGUAAGACUAAUGCCCAAUGACAUUUAUAGAAGGCAUCUGAAAUGAAUUAAAGAUUUAUCGGUGAUGGAUGGGGAUGCGUCUGAUUAGCUUGUUGGCGGGGUAACGGCCCACCAAGGCGACGAUCAGUAGGGGUUCUGAGAGGAAGGUCCCCCACACUGGUACUGAGACACGGACCAGACUCCUACGGGAGGCAGCAGUGAGGAAUAUUGGUCAAUGGGCGCAGGCCUGAACCAGCCAAGUCGCGUGAGGGAGGACGGUCCUACGGAUUGUAAAACCUCUUUUGUCGGGGAGUAACGUGCGGGACGCGUCCCGUAUUGAGAGUACCCGAAGAAAAAGCAUCGGCUAACUCCGUGCCAGCAG
rnacentral:rRNA from 1 species